CCAUGCUAGGUGGGGGCUAGCGGUCCCCGUUUCCUCAAUCCGCUAUAGGGGAGCCGAUAUGCCUGCUGAGGAGUUGGUUGUUUGGGACUGGACCUGGAAAAGUGGUGUUGACGGUCGAGUCUUCUGCGGCACAAGUCUACAAAUCCCGUCAGGCCUGGAAGGGAGCAGCGGUAAAUAGACCUCUGUGGGUGUCAGGAGGUAGCUUGAUCAGAGCUAACUGCCCAGGUAACGCCAGGCAAGCAAUUUCGAGGCGGGUUGCAUGG
rnacentral:SRP_RNA from 1 species